ACGAUGCAAUGUUCCUUUACCUUUUUUAGAAGGAAUAGUGAUAUGAUCAAUACUGUCACGAUGAAUGUCUGUAAUAUUAGAAACGCCGGAAAGUUCUUCAAGCUCCUUAAUGGAACCAAUGCAAACGACUUCUUCGUAGUCAUCACUAACCCAAAGUGGGAUAGGGGUACCCCAGUAUCUGUUACGGGAAAUGUUCCAGUCACGAGCAUUCUUCAACCAAUUCGCAAAACGUUUAUCACGAAUGUUUUGAGGGACCCAGUGAGUGCUCAUGACAUUUUCAACCAUCUCAUUAGUGAUCUCCUUCACGCGAACAAACCAACUGGGAACGGCACGAUAAAUUAGAGGUGUAUCGGAACGCCAGCAAAAUGGAUAACUAUGGAAAAUUUGACUA